GACAGAGGAUGCAAGCGUUAUCCGGAAUGAUUGGGCGUAAAGCGUCUGUAGGUGGCUUUUCAAGUCCGCCGUCAAAUCCCAGGGCUCAACCCUGGACAGGCGGUGGAAACUACCAAGCUGGAGUACGGUAGGGGCAGAGGGAAUUUCCGGUGGAGCGGUGAAAUGCAUAGAUAUCGUCAAGAACACCUAUAGCGAAGGCAGCUUACUGGGCUGUAACUGACGCUGAGGCACGAAGGCAUGGGUAGCAAAUCGG
rnacentral:rRNA from 1 species